UAGAGUUUGAUCCUGGCUCAGGACGAACGCUGGCGGCGUGCCUAAUACAUGCAAGUCGAGCGAAUCUUUGGGAGCUUGCUCCCAAUCGAUUAGCGGCGGACGGGUGAGUAACACGUGGGUAACCUGCCUGUAAGACUGGGAUAACUUCGGGAAACCGGAGCUAAUACCAGAUAAUUUCUUUUCUCGCAUGAGAGAAGAUGGAAAGAUGGUUUCGGCUAUCACUUACAGAUGGACCCGCGGCGCAUUAGCUAGUUGGUGAGGUAACGGCUCACCAAGGCGACGAUGCGUAGCCGACCUGAGAGGGUGAUCGGCCACACUGGGACUGAGACACGGCCCAGACUCCUACGGGAGGCAGCAGUAGGGAAUCUUGGACAAUGGGGGAAACCCUGAUCCAGCAAUGCCGCGUGUGUGAAGAAGGCCUUCGGGUUGUAAAGCACUUUCAGUGG
rnacentral:rRNA from 1 species